AUCUGAUGAUGUGGACAGGUUACACAUAACUUCUUGAAUCUCUCCCAAUAUUCAUAUAGAGAUUCUCCAUGGUGCUGCUUGAUAACACAAAUUUCUUUUCUUAAGCU